rnacentral:piRNA from 1 species
UCCUGAACCUUAGGGAGAAAAACCCCACAC